GAACACGCAAUGAGAAAGUUGAGUAGGCGUGGUGGACCUGUCAGUGAGCUUCGAUUAGUGAGAAGAAGUGAGGUUGCCACGGUGAACAUCCCUUUCGAGCGAUGUACCGAAUUUAAGUAACGUACAUUGGUGGCACCCAUUAUCGUGCUAGCGUAUCGCCUGUGGGCCGUACGUGAAGAGGUCAUAUCAGUGAUGGUAUGACAAUGUAAGGUGGUACCGUGCAAUUAAAUUAACUGCACCCUUUAG
rnacentral:ncRNA from 1 species